rnacentral:rRNA from 1 species
GUCCACGCCGUAAACGAUGUCGACUAGCCGUUGGGAUCCUUGAGAUCUUAGUGGCGCAGCUAACGCAUUAAGUCGACCGCCUGGGGAGUACGGCCGCAAGGUUAAACUCAAAUGAAUUGACGGGGCCCGGCACAAGCGGUGGAGCAUGUGGUUUAAUUUCGAAGCAACGCGAAGAACCUUACCUGGCCUUGACAUGCUGAGAACUUUUCCAGAGAUGGAUUGGUGCCUUCGGGAACUCAGACACAGGUGCUGCAUGGCUGUCGU